rnacentral:rRNA from 1 species
GACGAAGGAUGCAAGCGUUGUCCGGAUUCAUUGGGCGUAAAGAGCGUGUAGGCGGCCAGGUAGGUCGGUUGUGAAAACUGGAGGCUCAACCUUCAGAGGUCGACCGAAACCAUCUGGCUAGAGUCCGGGAGAGGAGAGUGGAAUUCCUGGUGUAGCGGUGAAAUGCGCAGAUAUCAGGAAGAACACCCGUGGCGAAAGCGGCUCUCUGGAACGGUACUGACGCUGAGACGCGAAAGCGUGGGGAGCGAACAGG